GGUUAAGCGACUAAGCGUACACGGUGGAUGCCCUGGCAGUCAGAGGCGAUGAAGGACGUGCUAAUCUGCGAUAAGCGUCGGUAAGGUGAUAUGAACCGUUAUAACCGGCGAUUUCCGAAUGGGGAAACCCAGUGUGAUUCGUCACACUAUCAUUAACUGAAUCCAUAGGUUAAUGAGGCGAACCGGGGGAACUGAAACAUCUAAGUACCCCGAGGAAAAGAAAUCAACCGAGAUUCCCCCAGUAGCGGCGAGCGAACGGGGAGCAGCCCAGAGCCUGAAUCAGUGUGUGUGUUAGUGGAAGCGUCUGGAAAGGCGUGCGAUACAGGGUGACAGCCCCGUACACAAAAAUGCACAUACUGUGAGCUCGAUGAGUAGGGCGGGACACGUGGUAUCCUGUCUGAAUAUGGGGGGACCAUCCUCCAAGGCUAAAUACUCCUGACUGACCGAUAGUGAACCAGUACCGUGAGGGAAAGGCGAAAAGAACCCCGGCGAGGGGAGUGAAAAAGAACCUGAAACCGUGUACGUACAAGCAGUGGGAGCACGCUUAGGCGUGUGACUGCGUACCUUUUGUAUAAUGGGUCAGCGACUUAUAUUCUGUAGCAAGGUUAACCGAAUAGGGGAGCCGAAGGGAAACCGAGUCUUAACUGGGCGUUAAGUUGCAGGGUAUAGACCCGAAACCCGGUGAUCUAGCCAUGGGCAGGUUGAAGGUUGGGUAACACUAACUGGAGGACCGAACCGACUAAUGUUGAAAAAUUAGCGGAUGACUUGUGGCUGGGGGUGAAAGGCCAAUCAAACCGGGAGAUAGCUGGUUCUCCCCGAAAGCUAUUUAGGUAGCGCCUCGUGAAUUCAUCUCCGGGGGUAGAGCACUGUUUCGGCAAGGGGGUCAUCCCGACUUACCAACCCGAUGCAAACUGCGAAUACCGGAGAAUGUUAUCACGGGAGACACACGGCGGGUGCUAACGUCCGUCGUGAAGAGGGAAACAACCCAGACCGCCAGCUAAGGUCCCAAAGUCAUGGUUAAGUGGGAAACGAUGUGGGAAGGCCCAGACAGCCAGGAUGUUGGCUUAGAAGCAGCCAUCAUUUAAAGAAAGCGUAAUAGCUCACUGGUCGAGUCGGCCUGCGCGGAAGAUGUAACGGGGCUAAACCAUGCACCGAAGCUGCGGCAGCGACGCUUAUGCGUUGUUGGGUAGGGGAGCGUUCUGUAAGCCUGCGAAGGUGUGCUGUGAGGCAUGCUGGAGGUAUCAGAAGUGCGAAUGCUGACAUAAGUAACGAUAAAGCGGGUGAAAAGCCCGCUCGCCGGAAGACCAAGGGUUCCUGUCCAACGUUAAUCGGGGCAGGGUGAGUCGACCCCUAAGGCGAGGCCGAAAGGCGUAGUCGAUGGGAAACAGGUUAAUAUUCCUGUACUUGGUGUUACUGCGAAGGGGGGACGGAGAAGGCUAUGUUGGCCGGGCGACGGUUGUCCCGGUUUAAGCGUGUAGGCUGGUUUUCCAGGCAAAUCCGGAAAAUCAAGGCUGAGGCGUGAUGACGAGGCACUACGGUGCUGAAGCAACAAAUGCCCUGCUUCCAGGAAAAGCCUCUAAGCAUCAGGUAACAUCAAAUCGUACCCCAAACCGACACAGGUGGUCAGGUAGAGAAUACCAAGGCGCUUGAGAGAACUCGGGUGAAGGAACUAGGCAAAAUGGUGCCGUAACUUCGGGAGAAGGCACGCUGAUAUGUAGGUGAAGUCCCUCGCGGAUGGAGCUGAAAUCAGUCGAAGAUACCAGCUGGCUGCAACUGUUUAUUAAAAACACAGCACUGUGCAAACACGAAAGUGGACGUAUACGGUGUGACGCCUGCCCGGUGCCGGAAGGUUAAUUGAUGGGGUCAGCGCAAGCGAAGCUCUUGAUCGAAGCCCCGGUAAACGGCGGCCGUAACUAUAACGGUCCUAAGGUAGCGAAAUUCCUUGUCGGGUAAGUUCCGACCUGCACGAAUGGCGUAAUGAUGGCCAGGCUGUCUCCACCCGAGACUCAGUGAAAUUGAACUCGCUGUGAAGAUGCAGUGUACCCGCGGCAAGACGGAAAGACCCCGUGAACCUUUACUAUAGCUUGACACUGAACAUUGAGCCUUGAUGUGUAGGAUAGGUGGGAGGCUUGGAAGUGUGGACGCCAGUCUGCAUGGAGCCGACCUUGAAAUACCACCCUUUAAUGUUUGAUGUUCUAACGUUGACCCGUAAUCCGGGUUGCGGACAGUGUCUGGUGGGUAGUUUGACUGGGGCGGUCUCCUCCUAAAGAGUAACGGAGGAGCACGAAGGUUGGCUAAUCCUGGUCGGACAUCAGGAGGUUAGUGCAAUGGCAUAAGCCAGCUUGACUGCGAGCGUGACGGCGCGAGCAGGUGCGAAAGCAGGUCAUAGUGAUCCGGUGGUUCUGAAUGGAAGGGCCAUCGCUCAACGGAUAAAAGGUACUCCGGGGAUAACAGGCUGAUACCGCCCAAGAGUUCAUAUCGACGGCGGUGUUUGGCACCUCGAUGUCGGCUCAUCACAUCCUGGGGCUGAAGUAGGUCCCAAGGGUAUGGCUGUUCGCCAUUUAAAGUGGUACGCGAGCUGGGUUUAGAACGUCGUGAGACAGUUCGGUCCCUAUCUGCCGUGGGCGCUGGAGAACUGAGGGGGGCUGCUCCUAGUACGAGAGGACCGGAGUGGACGCAUCACUGGUGUUCGGGUUGUCAUGCCAAUGGCACUGCCCGGUAGCUAAAUGCGGAAGAGAUAAGUGCUGAAAGCAUCUAAGCACGAAACUUGCCCCGAGAUGAGUUCUCCCUGACUCCUUGAGAGUCCUGAAGGAACGUUGAAGACGACGACGUUGAUAGGCCGGGUGUGUAAGCGCAGCGAUGCGUUGAGCUAACCGGUACUAAUGAACCGUGAGGCUUAACCUU
rnacentral:rRNA from 1 species